rnacentral:rRNA from 1 species
UACGUAGGUGACGAGCGUUGUCCGGAAUUAUUGGGCGUAAAGGGCGCGUAGGCGGUUGUGAUAGUCAGAUGUGAAAUCCUCCGGCUUAACUGGAGAACUGCAUCUGAAACUUCAUAGCUAGAGUACAGGAGAGGGAAACGGAAUUCCCGGUGUAGAGGUGGAAUUCGUAGAUAUCGGGAGGAACACCAGUGGCGAAGGCGGUUUCCUGGCCUGAUACUGACGCUGAGGCGCGAAAGCGUGGGGAGCAAACAGGAUUAGAUACCCUGGUAGU